rnacentral:miRNA from 1 species
AAAACGACAAUCAGUCACACGUCAAGAACGGAGA